CGAGGAGGCAGUGCUAAUAUUUGAGAUGGCUGCAGUACCGAAAACCCGGCGCCCACAAGGUAGUUCUGCUUGCAAAACAUCUGGCGUGGCAUGCCAAGAACACACAUGAGCUGAAAGGUGGGACACUAACCUUGCCUCAGGAUCUUCUCCACCAGGUCCAGAGAACCGUCAUUUCCUCCUGGAUAAUAUCCAGCCUUCUGCAUGCGAACAAAGAGAUGGGAAAAGGCAAAGAGCCAGAAAGUCUACAGAGCAUCCAACUCUUUUUCCUGUGACAAGCUACCAUCCCUGAGCCUCCGUUGCCUCACCUGGAAAAGGGGAAAAAGAGCACAUUCCCUGCUCUCCUCCUCGGACUGGUAUGAGAUAGUGGGUGAAAGGAUUUAAUCUGUAAAGCAUUCAGUUAUCUUCUGCCCACAAUACUCUGUUCGCAUAAGCACCAUUAUCCUUUUCUUCCUGGCAGACAGCAUCCUCCUUCCAAUACACAGGCUCACUUAGUUAGUUAAUCAGUACCCUCCACCUGUAUGGCUUUUCCUUUCUUUCUGCCCAUUCAGAUCACUUCUUCCAAAACCCAUUUCCUCCAUGAAGCCUUUCCUACCACCUCCAAGGAGGAAAAAUAUAUAUAAAGUCUCCAGUGGUGUGCCAUGAUACUAUCCCCUGCAAAACAAAUCCAAAUAAAACAAAGCCAAUUCUGGG